AGGAUGAACGCUGGCGGUCUGCUUAACACAUGCAAGUCGAACGGAGUAGCAAUACUUAGUGGCGGACGGGUGAGUAACGCGUGAGAAUCUACCUUCAGGACGGAGACAACAGUUGGAAACGACUGCUAACCCCCGAUGUACCGAAAGGGCAAAUAUUUAUAGCCUGAAGAAGAGCUCGCGUCCGAUUAGCUAGUUGGAGAGGUAAAAGCUCACCAAGGCGACGAUCGGUAGCUGGUCUGAGAGGACGAUCAGCCACACUGGGACUGAGACACGGCCCAGACUCCUACGGGAGGCAGCAGUGGGGAAUUUUCCGCAAUGGGCGAAAGCCUGACGGAGCAAGACCGCGUGGGGGAAGAAGGCUCUUGGGUUGUAAACCCCUUUUCUCUGGGAAGACGCAAUGACGGUACCAGAGGAAUCAGCAUCGGCUAACUCCGUGCCAGCAGCCGC
rnacentral:rRNA from 1 species